GCCCUCGUAUCCCAAUUGGCAGAGGAAACGGAUUCAAAACCCGUCCAGUGUGAGUUCGAGUCUCACCGAGGGCACCA
rnacentral:tRNA from 113 species